rnacentral:rRNA from 1 species
UACGGAGGGUGCGAGCGUUGUCCGGAAUCACUGGGCGUAAAGGGCGCGUAGGUGGCGCGGGAAGUCAACGGUGAAAGUUCGGGGCUCAACCCUGAAUCGGCCGUCGAUACUCCCGGGCUCGAGCACUGUAGAGGCAGAUGGAAUUCCGGGUGUAGCGGUGGAAUGCGUAGAGAUCCGGAAAAACACCGGUGGCGAAGGCGGUCUGCUGGGCAGUUGCUGACACUGAGGCGCGACAGCGUGGGGAGCAAACAGG